AUCACUUAUUCUAAAAUCUUGAGGGCUUCUUUUUCUUUUUUUUCACAAAGUCAUCUGUCUCAUCUAUUUGAUUUCACCACUCCAAUUCUCUUUCAACCCUGACAGCUUGACAUCAACAUUUUCUUUCACUCUCCUCUUUUUUUCUUAUCUCUGUCACGCCCUGAUCUAUUUCACCUGUCUUGGUGAUUGUCUCCACCCACCUCCAGGUGUCUCCUGUUUUCCCCAUUAGUCCCCGGUGUAUUUAUCCCUGUGUUUCCUGUCUCUCUGUGCCAGUUCGUCUUGUUUUGCCAAGUCAACCAAUGUUUCUCCUAGCUCCUAUUUUUACCAGUCUCUGUUUUUUCCUAGCCCUCUUGAUUUUGACCCUUGCCUGUCCUGAGCCCAACUCCGCCUGUGUGACCACUCUGUCUGUCCUGACCUCAAGCCUGCCUAUCCCCUGGUACUGUUUGGACUCUGACCUGGUUUGUGAACUCUCGCCUGUCCCGACCUGUCUUUUGCCUACCCCUUUUGGUGUAAUAAAUAUUGGAACUCAACCAUCUGCCUCCUGUGUCUGCAUUUGGGUCUCACCUUGUGCCCUUAUAGUACAAACUGGCCAUGACAGACCCAGCAGACUUGGACCAUCUCCGCCAAGCUGUCUCCCUGCUGGGAGCCACCAUUGGGAGGCAUGAGGAGCUACUGCUGGACCUUCUGGAAGGGCUUCGUUCCCUGACGGAACGCCACAACCAAGGGUUCAAGGCUAUUAUGGAGCAAAUCAGUGAGUUAGCUCAUAGGCAGCCCGCCACCUCUGAGACCUCCCAACCACCCAGUAACCUUUCUACUACUAGUGGAUUUUUUCAACCUACCCCGGCUCCUUGGGAACCCUGCUUACCUCCUCCGGAGCGUUAUGCAGGCGAUCCUGGUACCUGCCGGGCGUUCCUUUCCCAGUGCUCCCUCAUUUUUUGAACUCCAGCCCUCUUCGUUCCCGUCGGGCUGAUCGAAGAUAGUGUAUUUAAUCGCACUAAUGUCUGGAAGGGCGCUCUCCUGGGCAACGGCUGUGUGGGAGCAGCAAUCCGCUGUGUGCCAUAGUUCGGAGGAAUUCAUGGCAGAAGUGAGGAAGGUUUUCGAUUCUCCAGUGCCUGGGAGGGAGGCGGCUCAAACUACUGCAGGUUCAUCAGAACUCCCGUAAUGUGGCAGACUACGCAGUAGAUUUUUGCACAUUGGCCGCCGAGAGUUCCUGGAAACCGGAGGCUCUGUUUGACAGCUUUCUCCACGGACUGUCGGAGGUGAUAAAGGACAAGCUCGCAGCUCGGGAAAUACCACGGGACCUCAAUUCCCUCAUCGCCUUGGCAAAUCAGGAUUGAUUGGCGCCUACGAGAACGCCGGUGUGAGAGGAGGUUGGGUCUCAAGAACACUCGUUCAUCUGCUGAUGCUGGUACCCCUCCAAAGGAACCCGGAAAUCCCCGAAGUUGGUAUUUCUGAGGAGAGCUGAAAACACCCGAGGUUCCCAGAGAAUCAUCGGCAACGGGUGAGUUGGAUACUCCUGAGCCCAUGCAACUGGGAAGAGCUAGGUUAUCGGUUCGGGAACACUCACGUAGUUUGCAUUCUAACUGUUGUCUGUACUGUGGAGGGGCGGGACAUUAUAUAGCCACUUGCCCGGUUAAGAAACCCUUUUUAGUGGGUACAAGUACUCUGAUGAGCCAGACUGGGAGUCCCCUAACUUCCAUCACCUGUCCACCUUUUUUUGUGAUUCUGCUGUGGGGAGACCAGUCUAAGUCUCUCUGGGUGCUCAUUGACUCUGGGGCCGAUGAAAGUUUUAUGGAUGCUACCAUGGUUUCUGAAUUAAGUAUUUCCACUCAACUUCUCUCUGUCACCAUGGAUGCAAGGGCACUGGACGGCCGCUCUAUUGGAAGAGUCACCUGUAGCACUGUGCCCGUUCAUAUACGGGUAUCAGGAAACCAAAGUGAGACCAUACAGUUCCUCCUCAUCUUUUUUUUUCUCUCCUCCCAUGUUUAUGUGGUUUUGUGAUUUUCUUGGCUCCAGAAACACAGUCCUGUUAUUGACUGGACCACGAGCUCCAUCCUGGGUUGGAGCCCAUUUUGUCAUUCUCAUUGCCUAAAAGCGGCACAGCCGUCCUUGAGACGUCCCCCUCAGGACGUAAGCAAAUCCAUGGAUGUCUCUGCCAUCCCCACUGAGUACCAUGACCUCCUGGAGGACUUCAGUAAGGCACGUGCUACUUCUCUUCCCCCGCACCAUCCUAUGAUUGUGCCAUUGAUCUCCUCCCAGGCACCACACCACCUCGUGGUCGUCUAUAUUUUCUAUCCGGCCCUGAGACCAAGCCCAUGGAGGAGUACAUUGAGGAUUGUCUGGCUACUGGAGGCAUCCGUCUGUCUGCAUCUCCUGCCGGCGCGGGGGUUUUCUUUGUGGAGAAGAAGGACAAGACCCUGCGUCCGUGCAUUGAUUACCGGGGUACUGAAUGAUAUAACGAUCAAGAAUUGUUACCCCCUACCACUCCUCUCCUCGGCCUUCAAACCUCUCCAGGUGACCAAAUUUUUUUCCAAACUGGACCUUCGGAAUGCCUACCACCUGGUUUGGAUACUCGAAGUAGAUGAGUGGAAGACAGUCUUUAACACAGCCAGUGGACAUUAUGAGUACCAGGUCAUGUCAUUUGGACUCAUCAGACAGCCUUCCAAGCUGUCUUCCAAGCUCUGGUAAACGAUGUUCUCCGGGACAUGCUAAACCGUUUCAUGUUCGUCUACCUUGACGACAUCCUGUUUUUUUCCCAGUCUGCCCAAGAACACGUUCUUCAUGUCAGACAAGUUCUUCAGCGCCUCCUGGAGAACCAAUUGUUCGUGAAAGCCGAGAAGUGUGAGUUCCACCACUCUACAAUCUCCUUUCUGGGAUAUGUCAUCGCUGAUGGAAAUGUCCAAAUGGAUCCUGAAAAAGUGAACGCAGUGGUAGAGUGGCCUCAACCUAUGUCCAGGGUGCAGUUACGUUUCCUGGGGUUUGCUACAGCCAUUUCAUUCGGGGCUACAGCAUCCUGGCGGCCCCCCUCUCUGCACUCACCUCUCCCAAAGUACCGUUCACAUGGUCUCCAGCGGUUGACAGAGACCUGGUGGACCUGAAGCAUCGGUUCACCACAGCACCCAUCCUUGUCCAUCUGGAUCCAUCCCGUCAGUUUGUGGUAGAGGUUGAUGCUUCUGAUGUUGGAGUGGGGGCCAUCCUGUCCCAGCAAUCUGCCCAGGACCAGAAGCUCCAUCCCUGUGCCUUCCUGUCCCAUCGUCUCAAUCCUGCAGAGAGGAACUACGACAUAGGCAACCAAGAACUCCUGCCAGUCAAGAUGGCGCUGGAAGAGUGGAGACACUUGCUGGAAGGAGCAGAACAGCCAUUCUUGGUUUGGACCGACCAUAAAAAUUUGGAAUAUCUCCGUACAGCCAAGCGCCUUAACUCCAGGCAGGCCUGGUGGGUUUUAUUGUUCACCAGAUCCAACUUCACCAUUUCCUACCUCCCAGGCUCCAAAAAUGUGAAGCCUGAUGCCCUCUCCCGCCUAUAGUUCCUCUGCCACACACUCGGUCUCCGAAAUCAUUCCCCCUACAUCGUGCCUAGCGGCUUCAGUGGAUUGGGGUAUUGAAACCUUGGUCCGCAAGGCACAACAUUCCCAGCCUGGACCUGAAGGGGGCCCGGCUAACCGGUUGUUUGUCCCUAACUCAGUAUGGUCCUGGAAUGGGCUCAUUCCUCCAGGCUGACCUGUCAUCCAGGUUCCCGUUGUACCCUAGCCUUUGUUCGACAAUGUUUCUGGUGGCCCACAAUGGUUCCUGACAUUUCUGCCUUCGUUGCCACAUGCACAGUGUGCUCAGAACAAGACUCCAUGGCAGCUCCUUCUGGCCUCCUUCAGCCACUACCUGUCCCUCAUUGUCCCUGGUCCUAUAUCUUUCUAGACUUUGUCACUGGGCUCCCUCCAUCUGAUGGUAACACUGUCAUUCUGACGGUAUUGGACUGGUUCUCCAAGGCUGCCCAUUCCAUCCCUCUCCCCAAACUACCCUCUGCCAAGGAGAUGGCCCAGCUUAUGGUGCAGCACUUCUUCUGGAUCCGUGGACUCCCGGUGGACAUGGUCUCCAACCAGGGUCCUCAGUUCUUGUCUCAGUUCUGGAAGGCGUUCUGCACCCUUAUUGGGUCAUCGGCCAGCCUGUCCUCCGGAUUCCAUCCCCAAUCCAACGGCCAGUCGGAGCAAGCUAACCAGGACCUAGAAACCACCCUAAGAUGCCUGGUCUCAACCAACCCCACUACCUGGAGCCAACAACUGAUCUGGGUGGAGUAUGUCUGGAACACCCUUCCCUAUUCAGCCAUGGGACUCUCCCCUUUUGAGUGCUAUCAACCUUCAAUCUUCCCAGAACAAGAGCAGGAGGUCAACGUACCCUCGGACCAGAUGUUUGUCCGCUGCUGUCGACAUACCUGGAGAAGAGCUCGGGCGGCACUUCUCAAGACCAACUCCAGGUAUCGUCGACAAGCGGACCACCGCCGGCCUCCAGCUCCCCGCUACCGCAGAGUGUAUGGAUUUCCACUCGGGACCUGCCCCUUCGGGUGGAGUCCCGCAAACUGUCCCCCCGUUUCAUGGGGUACUUUCCCAUCUCUAGGGUCCUUAGUUCCACUGCUGUCCAUCUUGUUACCCCGUACCCUCCGUAUUCACCCGACUUUCCAUGUGUCUAGGAUUAAGCGCGUGUCUCCACAGCCCUUUGUAUUCUGUCUCCAGGCCCAUCCCUCCCCCCCAUCCCUCCCCCCCGUGUCAUCGAUGGCCAUCCAGCAUACACGGUUAAAUGUCUCCUGGGUGCUCGACCACGGGGCAGGGGUUUACAGUACCUGGUUGACUGGGAGGAUUACGGCCUGGAGGAGAGGUGCUGGGUUCCCGCUAGAGACAUCCUGGACCCAGCCCUCAUCGCCGACUUUCACCGCCGAAAUCCCGGUCAGCCAGGUAUGUGCCCAAGUAGGACACCAGGUGGCGUCCCUAGAGGGGGGGGGGUACUGUCAUGCCCUGAUUUGUUUCACCUGUCUUGGUGAUUCUCCACCCACCUCCAGGUGUCUCCUGUUUUCCCCAUUAGUCCCCGGUGUAUUUAUCGCUGCGUUUCCUGUCUCUCUGUGCCAGUUCGUCUUGUUUUGCCAAGUCAACAAGCGUUUCUCCUAGCUCCUAUAUUUCCCAGUCUCUGUUUUUUCCUAGCCCUCCUGGUCUUGUCCCUUGCCUGUCCUGGUGCCGAAAUCCGCCUGCCUGACCACUCUGCCUGUUCUGACCUCGAGCCUGCCUAUCCCCUGGUACUGUUUGGACUCUGACUUGGUUUGUGAACUAUCGCCUGUCCCCGACCUGUCUUUUGCCUAUCCCUUUUGCUGUAAUAAAUAUCGGAGCUCAGCCAUCUGCCUCCUGUGUCUGCAUUUGGGUCUCGCCUUGUGCCCUUAUAAUCUCUCUUUUUUUUCUGAUCUCUUCCAUGUCAUCUUACUGUAGUGUGUUGGUUUCUGUAUGUUCAUUCCACUAUGGGCUCAUUAUCAUGUGUGAGAAUCGGGAAAAAUAACUCUUAACUUAAAGGUAGAAAUCUUAACAUCCAUUUUGAUUCUGACCCGAACGACCUGUUCUAACAUUUACCCUUCUCAGGAAAAACAGGCUCUGGAGAAGAGGGUAACAGACAUGGAGGAGGAGCUCAAGGUCUUGACAGAGCUCAAAUCAGACAACCAAAGACUGAAGGACGAGAACGGGGCUCUGAUUCGUGUCAUCAGCAAGUUGUCCAAGUAAGAGAAUGGUGCCCCCUGUCAAAAGUCAGACACUUUCCUGAUGCUUGCAACGUGUCACUACCAUUAGCAUUCGGUACCCCCCCCCACCCUGACACUGAACCAUGGUGCUUAGUGACACCUACCUGCUAGCUGUUCAGAGGCAUGGUGAGGAACCUUCCAAAUCCGGAUGACCCCUGCCUCGACCCUUGACUUCUAUGCUCUUAGGCCAACUUCAUACCAGUAGGUCAAAGGUGAGAAGAGCGCACAGCGUCCACACAAAGAGUGUUGGUCUGGGGUACAGUAAACUGCGAAGCUCCAGACCAGCAAUCUAAACAAUAUCACAUCCACAUAUUUUACCUGUACAUCAAACAUACUGUAUUUAUUUAGUGCUUCAUUGUGCACUGCAAAAACUACUUUUAUUUUUCUCAAACUACUGAAAAAGCACUCAUAGGAAUUACUUUCAAUAAUCUUUCAUUGCAGUGAUAACAUUACACAUUGCCAUGAAUGUUUCUGAUGUGAGAUGUUGUGACUUGUUUAUGAUUAAUCUUUAUGGUUUGUAGUUCAAUUUCUGUCACAGACCCUUUUCUCUGAGCUGCUCAUUAGUGUGGUCUACUAUAGUCUCAGAUGUCACACUUGUUAGAUAUUUUAAUAAUUUAUUUAUGCAAUUUAUGGUUUAGAAUCUUUGAACUUAUACUCAACUAUAGUUGUACCAAUAUAGUAUUAAUAUGUAUCCUAUGAAAGCGUACCGUUGGAGCCCACAUAGUAACUUAUGUUGGAAGAUGGACAGCGUCUUUUUUUUUUUUUUUUUUCAAGUGAAACAUGUACAUGAUUUGUAAUGCAGAUGGCACAGGGAACAACAUACAAGAGCCUUCUUUAUGUGCCUUUCCUUAAAGACCAAUACAGCUAUCAGUCUAAUGAACUGUACGUAUAUUUAAAGACAGUAUUUUAUGUUGAAAUAACUUUACCAUGUAUGUAUAUGUUAUAUGAGACCGGAAUACUGACAUUCUACUUGUACACACACUUGUUGUUGGAUCACUUGCUUAAUAAACUAUUGAUGGUUAAAUAUAUAA